rnacentral:lncRNA from 1 species
AAAGGGCACAUAAGGAUAUUCUGACAGACCCACUCAAGCAGAUGAGGUGCCAGUAUGAAAGAACAUGCUACGUGUGACAUGAGCAAAAAUCUGGUCCCACCCCAAAGACAGUGAGGAAAGAACAAAAGAAAUAGCACACCACUUGGUGAGUCAAGUAGUCUAUGUACAGCAUCAUGGAUAAUGGUCAUUUAAGAGAUCUCUGAAAACUAAUAGACAACUGCACCACUGAAGAAGAUUCAACCUAACAAAUACCUUUGGAGAAAGGAUGGGUUUCAUGGAACACUUCAUGGGCUACCAAGUACUCCACUGUUUUUCUAGAAGCAUCAAAGCAAUAGAAGUCUAUGAUGCUAAGGUUUAGUCUCAGAAGCAAUAAUUGGAUUCCAGCUACCUAGAGUUGAUUGCUUGAGUGAGAGUUGGAAUUGAAGAUACAACUGGUAUUUAGUGUUGUUGCAUAUAAGCAGUCAUCAGUGGUAUAUCUACACUAAACUUUCAUGCUAUUGAAGAGGUCAAGAAGGAGAGAUGUCAGUGAAGAAAACUGGAAGGGAGAAGGUAUAAAGAUAGAAUGGAAGAAGCGAGGAGGGGAAAACUAAAAAGGUAGUGAGGAGAAGGGACAAGUGUAUAGAGAAGAAAGGAGGUCAAUGGAAGAGAAGUCAGUA